UUGCUUACCUGGCAAGGGAAAUACCAUGACUACUAAGGUGGUUUUCCCGCUGGCUGGGGAAAACCAUGAACAUGGCAGGAGGUAGUACACUAGCUGAGCACUUUCACUUCCAGUGGGAAGAUCUCGGCUAUACGCUGCCUUUAUGGAAAUGGGAGACUUCUCCCUAGCUCACUCUUG
rnacentral:snRNA from 1 species